CUUUUGGGGUGGGCAAUCGCCCGCCGGCGCUUCACGAAUUUGCGCAGACUGCCGAUUUGGCCGUUUCGCAAAUCGGAGGCUUUGGCGGGAGGAAAGUCCAGACAGCAGGAAGCAAGGGUGAUCGGCGCAAGCCGGUACCACGUACCAUGCGUAAGCUUAGGUACAUGGCUAGUUAGAGCCACAGAGACAACGACUCAACUCCGAACCGAAUAGGUACGGAGGUAGAGAGUGAAAAGAGGCAAUCCUCCCCGCUGCAACCUCCGAUCGACCCGUUAUGAGGCGGCUUCCCCGAGGGUCAAGGCUUGAGGGCAUUAGAGAGAUGAUUGCCUAAAACAGAAUCUGGCUUACUACCCCAAGAGACAA
rnacentral:RNase_P_RNA from 1 species